GAAGAUAGAGGCAGCUAGUUAGAAAAAAAGCCACAGUUCAAAGGCUGCUCUGCUGAAUUCAACUGUUUGUUACUGUUACAGUUUGCACUUUAGCUGUUUUAUUAGCCAUGUUUCAGGCUGUUUACAUUUUAGCCAUGUUUCAGGCUGUUUACAUUUUAGCCAUGUUUCAGGCUGUUUACAUUUUAUGUACGCUUUACACUCUGAUGUUUACAUUUUCAAAUAAACUGUGAAAAUGUGUCAAAUUACCUUUUUGUACCAAUGGAGUCUAUGUGUGUCAUACAGUAAGAGAGACCCACUGUACUCGUAUGAGGACAUUCAUUUUUGAGAGAACUACUUGAAUUUUGACUAAUUAGGACCUUCUGGCCCCAACAGCAAAUAAUAUUUCAAAAAGUUAUGAUACACCCACAUGAGGACAUCUUUUUCUGCAAAAACUACUUCCUGUACAAAAACAAAUUUUAGGUAUUAUACUUAUUAGGUCCUACAUAUCCCAAAUAGCAAGAACAAUUAUAAAAUGCACACCAGGCAAACUCUCGGGUCUCAGGAGGAUUUAUACGGUCAUCCGUGUUGCAAUGUGAAGCAGUACAGGGUCCACUGAAAUGUCAAAAUUCACAAUGCCAGAAACAGUGCAAUGAUCUGAAAGAUCUUUUAGAUCAUUUGAAAUUGCUUGUUUCAAAGAAAGAGGUUAAGUGCCCAACAUUAACAGUCAUGAUAUUAUUAUUCUUGUAACUUAAUGUUUUAGUUUUUUCCCUUUCCUUUUUUUUUGUGUGUACUGUAGGGAGUUCUCCCCUGACAGCUUUAUGAUUGCUGUGGACCACACCACUGGGAAAGAUGUUGUCACAAAUUGUGGGGAUGCCCUUCUAAUGAUGUUUGUGACCUACUCCUGCCUCAACAUAAGCUAUCCAGUGGAACAUGGUGCAACUCUGGAGAUCAUGCAGAGGUGCCUUUUCAAGAUAAAUCUGGACAGGGGGACCAAGGUGGACAAGAAAAAAUCUAAAAAGACAGCAGUUUGUUAAUCUCAAGGUUCUUUCAAUGAUUACAAAUAUUGCAAACUUUGAAUGAAGAGAGUAGAAUAGAAAGCUUCUUGCAUUGCCAACAUCUUCUCUUUCAUACACAGUUUAAGUAUGUUCCAAUUUCUUUGUAUACCAUGUUGUAAUGUUUAAACCGUUCAUUCUGCUGGCAUUAUUUCUUGGGAGGGUAAGUGGGGGGUGGAUAAGUGAGUGAGCAGUAUCCUGGUUGGUGUUGUAAUGUUUCAUUUUUGUUUUGUAAUGCAUGUUGUGUAGUAAUGGCUCUAAAAAGCUGUAAUUCCCACAGUAAAAACUGUAUAUGGAAAAAUUGGAAGAGGUGGAAAGUAACGAAUUACAUUUACUCGCGUUACUGUAAUUGAGUAGCUUUUUUUUCCUACUUUUUAAAGUAAUUUUUAAAAUCUGUAAUUUUACUUUUACUUAAGUAUAUUUUGUUUGAAGUAUUGUACUUCACUACAUUUUAAAACACAUUAAUUACUGAGUAAAAAAAUAAAAAUAAAAUAAAUAAAUAAUGGGCAGGAGGGCAAACUGGUGCUAAAAUCACAAGAAAGAUGCAGACGGACAAAACAGGCGUUAGUGGUGCAGACACUGCUGAAAACGAAACCCCGUUGAACUUGAAGGAAAUGAAGUGAACCCCUGGCCAUAUUUAUGCUCUAUUAUGCAGUGUAAGCUGUGCUUGCCCAGGGAGACCAAACUAGCAGCUUAUAAAAUCUCGACAAGACAUCAACCCUUCGCAAGCAUGUAGAGGUAAGCUAAAUAACUGCAUCGUUGCAUUGGUGGUUAAAAUGAUGCUUUGACAUUUUAGCAAGAGGUUUUGCACAAAUUAGCCAAAAAGGCAGUGGUGCAGAGUAUGCGAUAAAUAUCGUCUGCGAUAAUAUGAUAAUUGUUGUUUUAAUGAGGUGCAUGCGCAUUUAUAGUGCGUUCUUUCACUGAGUGAUUCAGUCUUGUAAAAUGCAUUUAGAAUGAUCACAAAAUAGAAGAUAUAGGGGCACAAAAUUUACAUAUUUAUAUCAGUUUUUUAUAUAGUAAAUCAAAAUCACACAAAGAAUGCCAUCUUUUCCUCCAAAAAUCAUCAUGAUUACAAACACACACACACACACACACACACACACACACACACACACACACACACACACACACACACACACACACACUAUUUUAAAGGUGUAUUAUUGUAUUCUGACAACUGUUAAAUGUUAAAAGUAAAAGAUUUCAUGAAAAUUUAAAAAUAAUUAAUGCAUAAUUACAGGAAUAAUCUGUAAUUAUGGAAUAAGAAAUUACAUUUUUUUAAAGUUUAUAUAGUUUUAUUUUUUUCAGACUUUUAACAGAUAUUUUCUGGCGCUCCUGCUGCCAGAAAAUUGCUGGUUUUUAAUGAUUCAUUUAUUUAUUUAUUUGUUUGUUUACAGUGUAGUUACUAUGU
ensembl:lncRNA